rnacentral:rRNA from 1 species
UUGAAAGGGAAACGAUUGAAGUCAGUCGUACCGACGGAAAAUCAGCUCUUCGAGUGCGGACUUGUGGGCGUACGUGAGCUUUAACCGGCCUCGUCGUUUGCUACGUUUGUGCUUUUUGGGUGUACUUUUCCGUAUGGUAGGCCAACGUCAGUUUCGAUCACCAUAAAAUGAUCGGAGGAAUGUAGCUUCGAUCUUGUAUUGAAGUGUUAUAGCCUUUGGUAGAUGUGGUGACUGAGACUGAGGAUUGCAACGAAUACCCUUUGGGCUAUCCGUCUGACCUCUGAAAGUUGCUUAGGUGCCGAAAGCUUGCUUACGGUCAUCUAUGACGACGGCCAAAAGGUUAGAACGUGAUUAUAUUCGUUAAGGAUGUUGACGUA